rnacentral:lncRNA from 1 species
AACAUUUUCCCAGCUGCCUCCAACAGACCGAAACUUGUCACUGGGGAGCUGAAAGGGUCACACUCCUGGGCAAGGCAGCCCUAUGUGUAUUCACUCACUGGCCCCUUCGCGUGCAGAGGCUAUGCCGGACCCCAGGGAGAGCCUGACUUGCUGAAGGAGACACACAUGCAUCUCUGCCUGUCACACAAGGGGCAGACACGAAACACAGGCUCAGCUCACAGACAGGCUCACAGGAAUAUGUGAUGCAAGAAGGGGGUUGAGCGAGUUGACUGGGCUGACCAGAGCUGGGUACAGUUUUAACUGUGAAGAUUUUCUGGAGGAGGCGGAUCUGCAGCAGAUUAUCCCCUGAGGAGGAAGGGGCUGGGAGGUCCCGGGCCUCCUCCGAGAGUGAAUUGGAUGAUGAAGGCCCCUGUGGUGGUGAUGGGGACCCAGGCCUGUUCCCCUUCCCCAUGCCCCGGGGUGGGACCCAGGCCUCCAGCGAAGAGAGUGAGGAGGAGGGGACAUCUGACGACCUCCACCCACCCCCUGACUGCCAUUAUGCAACCCGGCCCCCACGGCCACAGGCGUUCUGCACCUUUGGGAGCCGGCUGGUGAGCCCAGGAUGCUAUGUGUUUAGCCGCCGGCUGGACCGGUUCUGCUCAGCACUCAGCUCCAUGCUGGAACGGCACCUCAGCACACACAUGUGGAAGAAGAUCCCACCGGCAGCUGAACCUCCAGCUCACCUUG